CUUAAUCAUCAUCAUCAUCAGGACAGUGAGAGUGCUCGCUCUCUCUUCCCCUCUUUUAGCUCUCUCUCUAUUUCCUCUCUCUUGCCCUAGCUUCUUCAUCUACCCCCUCAAUUAUUCAGCUACUAUAUAACUCAUCGUCUUCACCUCUCACACGAAACGCCCUUUUGUGUUGAUUUUUCUGCCGAUUAAUAUGCCUAUGGGUCGUGUUAGAGAGCAUGCCUAUGGGUCGGUGUUAGAGAGCUUUCUCAAUCAAUCUUGAGUACUGGAUCUGUCUCCUCUUGUUUCCAGUUGCAAACUGUUACAAAUAAUCGGGAUGCUGGGGCUGAUGUGGUUGAUUAAACUGAAGACUGGCAGGUUUGCUCGAGUUAUCUCUCGUCUCUAGACCAUUUGUGAGAAGGGAUCUUUUAUUUGCACCAAUACCUCACCAGUCUCUAAAUCUGCAAAUAAGUAUUAUGCUCACUUAAGGAAAAUACCUUGUCAAUAUAUCUCACCCUCUUUUAAAACUAAUCUUAGAAUUCAGAUGCCUUUGGAUCCUAAAAUACAUUGUUGUGCAUAUAUGUAAUCUACUGGCGCAGCAGGGUAAGUUUCUUGUGUACCUCUAGAAAUUCUCUUACUGCUUAGGAUUCCCGAGCUACCAAAACUUUCUUAAGGUCUACUCUGUAGGUCACAACUAUUAUUGCCGCACUCACCUUAUUGUUAAGAUGGUUAUUUCUUCCAAUCAAUAUCUGAUCCUUCGGAAGUUAGGUUUAAAAAUAAGUAGAUAAUGUGCAUUAGUGACUUUUCCUGAUGCUGCACUCAUAAUUGUUUUGUUUGUGUUCCAACUCAAUUCAAGAUGAUUCUCGAAAUCAUAUAAAUUCAUUAACACCAUGAACAUGAUAGCUAAGAAUUUGUAUGUCUUACAACUAGUAGACACCCUAAUUAUAAACAUAGGGACUGGUGAGGGGUUUGGUUAUGUUCCCUUCUCAUCGAUGGUCUAGAUGUGCGAGGUGACUCUCAUGGAGGUAAAGAAAAAUGGUGAAUUUGUGAAGCUCCCAUCAUGAUGAUAAUUCCUAAAAAGGUUAGAUUUCAGAUUUUGAAAUUGUUGUAUUGCAUGAUUUCCAGAUCAAUAAUGGAUUUACUAAUACACCACAGGUGAUGGUUCCAAGUUAUAGUUGUGUAAUCCUUUUUUCUUUUUGUUGGGAUUUAAGUAUAUCAUCCCACUUUUCAAACUAAUGAAAAUGAUGGAUGCAGUAGUGAAAUUGUUGCAAGGUGAAUAUCUUUGUUGCCUUUUCAAGAACCAACGAAGACAGAAACAAGUUGUAAAAGAAUGCAAGUGUGAAUACGGAUGAAGGAGGAAAGUGGAGGGAAGGUGUGUUACCUUUGACUUGUUGUCACUGAUUAUCUCACACUCAUCCAAUUCAUGCUGCAAGAGGAAACAACUAAAGGAAUGAGUGACGUAACACCAAGCAUCAGGAGUUUGCUUGUAGAUUUGAUAAUACAUUCCAUUACUAACGUAAUCUUUGUCAUAUUAGGUAGACUCUUGACUACAAAUGAAGACUAUGUAACUUAGCUAAUGUAUAUCAUUAACUUUUUAAAGUGUUUUCAUGAAUAACGUUAAUACAUGGAGUCAAACAAAUGUGAUGGUGUUUAGCGUGAAUAUAUAUAAUAUCACUUCUAAGUUCUAAUA